UCCCUGGUGGUCUAGUGGUUAGGAUUUGGCGCUCUCACCGCCUCGGCCCCAGGUUCAAUUCCCGGUCAGGGAA